rnacentral:rRNA from 1 species
GACAGAGGGUGCAAACGUUGUUCGGAAUUACUGGGCGUAAAGCGCGUGUAGGCGGCUAUGUAAGUCGGGCGUGAAAUCCCACGGCUCAACCGUGGAAGUGCACCCGAAACUGCGUAGCUAGAGUCCUGGAGAGGAAGGUGGAAUGCUUGGUGUAGAGGUGAAAUUCGUAGAUAUCAAGCGGAACACCGGUGGCGAAGGCGGCCUUCUGGACAGUGACUGACGCUGAGACGCGAAGGUCAGGGGAGCAAACGGG